GUCGGACCUACCGUAAAUAUACUGUCUG
rnacentral:sRNA from 1 species